AUUUACUCAGUGAGUGCAAGAGGUUUGUUUGAAACAGACCGCAAUGGAGAGAUCAGCGCCCAGGGAAGCGAGGGAACAGCAGGCUCCUUCCAGCAGCACAUCGGGAUGGGAGCCUGGGACACAGAGGGGGCUCCGAGGCCGGGAUUGAUUCGGGCUGAAAAAUCUUCUGUCUUCCUCCAAGCAAAUAUUUGAAUGAUGAGGACAAUGUCAUAUUUCCUCAGGACAAAGCCAAGUGAGACCAGCUGCUUCUAACAAACAGCAGAAAUGUUCAUGUACAGAUUGCUACCUGCACACUGUAACACAUAUAGGAGAAAUCGACAAGGAGAAAUUGAGGAUGAUAUUUACAUAUCAGAACUGGCAGGUACAAAUUGACAAAUACUUAAAGGACCAAGACAUAUUCCCUCGGGGCAAAGCUAAGUGUAAUCAGUUCCUACUGACAAACAGCAGGAAACAUGAACUGAGAACUCUCCUGUCCCACUCUGCUAACUGGCUGUCCACUUUACAGCAAACAUUUAAACUGCUCAGUAACACAAUACAGGAAGACUGAAG